rnacentral:rRNA from 1 species
GAUGAACGCUGGCGGCGUGCCUAACACAUGCAAGUCGAACGGAGUCCAGCCUUUAAGACCUUCGGGUCAAAGAGGGGAAGACUGAGUGGCGGACGGGUGAGUAACACGUGGGCAACCUGGCUCAUAGAGGGGGAUAACAGAGAGAAAUUUCUGCUAAUACCGCAUAAGCACACACUGCCGCAUGGCAGAGGGUGAAAAGAGAAUCGCUAUGAGAUGGACCCGCGUCUGAUUAGCCAGUUGGCAGGGUAAGAGCCUACCAAAGCGACGAUCAGUAGCCGAUCUGAGAGGAUGAACGGCCACAUUGGGACUGAGACACGGCCCAAACUCCUACGGGAGGCAGCAGUGGGGGAUAUUGCACAAUGGGGGGAACCCUGAUGCAGCGACGCCGCGUGAGUGAAGAAGUAUUUCGGUAUGUAAAGCUCUAUCAGC